AAUCACUCCUGUAGAAUGCAGAUGCACAAUGAGGGACGUCUGCAGAGACUGAGAAAGAGUCUCACCACAUCCUGACAUGAGGAAAAAGACUUUAUUGAAGACUACGAUGAGAAAAACUAUCAGACAGCAGACGGCUGCAUUCAAGUCUGUAGCUGCUGAAUUCAUGGAUGAAUCAUCUGGCACUAGAGAAGAAGACCAUCAAACAUCCACGUCAGCUGAUGGAGGUCCAAGAGUCUCACCAAACAACCAACCUACAGAGUGAAGACCUCAAAUCUGAUUGGAUGGCCUCCUAUUCAGCCACGUGUGAACAAAUGCCUCUAAGCUGAUUUGUUUUCUAAAAUAAAUCUAGUUUGAGUCCUAAUCUAUGCCUGUGUGUUUGCUCCUUUACACUGCUGUUAACAGUUUAGGCUGUUAGAUUGUUCCAGAUAAGACAAGUACAAGAUUCUUCAGAGCCGG
ensembl:lncRNA